rnacentral:rRNA from 1 species
ACGAACGCUGGCGGCGUGCUUCACACAUGCAAGUCGCACGGAAAGGCCCUGCUUUUGUGGGGUGCUCGAGUGGCGAACGGGUGAGUAACACGUGAGUAACCUGCCCUUGACUUUGGGAUAACUUCAGGAAACUGGGGCUAAUACCGGAUAGGAGCUCCUGCUGCAUGGUGGGGGUUGGAAGGUUCGGCGGUUGGGGAUGGACUCGCGGCUUAUCAGCUUGUUGGUGGGGUAGUGGCUUACCAAGGCUUUGACGGGUAGCCGGCCUGAGAGGGUGACCGGCCACAUUGGGACUGAGAUACGGCCCAGACUCCUACGGGAGGCAGCAGUGGGGAAUAUUGCACAAUGGGCGGAAGCCUGAUGCAGCAACGCCGCGUGCGGGAUGACGGCCUUCGGGUUGUAAACCGCUUUCGCCUGUGACGAAGCGUGAGUGACGGUAAUGGGUAAAGAAGCACCGGCUAACUACGUG